rnacentral:rRNA from 1 species
UACGUAGGGUCCGAGCGUUGUCCGGAAUUAUUGGGCGUAAAGGGCUCGUAGGCGGUCUGUUGCGUCGGGAGUGAAAACUUACAGCUUAACUGUGAGCGUGCUUCCGAUACGGGCAGACUUGAGGUAUUCAGGGGAGAACGGAAUUCCUGGUGUAGCGGUGAAAUGCGCAGAUAUCAGGGAGGAACACCGGUGGCGAAGGCGGUUCUCUGGGCCGUAACUGACGCUGAGGAGCGAAAGCGUGGGGAGCAAACAGG